rnacentral:rRNA from 1 species
UAGGGAAUCUUCCGCAAUGGGCGAAAGCCUGACGGAGCAACGCCGCGUGAGUGAUGAAGGUCUUCGGAUCGUAAAACUCUGUUAUUAGGGAAGAACAAAUGUGUAAGUAACUAUGCACGUCUUGACGGUACCUAAUCAGAAAGCCACGGCUAACUACGUGCCAGCAGCCGCGGUAAUACGUAGGUGGCAAGCGUUAUCCGGAAUUAUUGGGCGUAAAGCGCGCGUAGGCGGUUUUUUAAGUCUGAUGUGAAAGCCCACGGCUCAACCGUGGAGGGUCAUUGGAAACUGGAAAACUUGAGUGCAGAAGAGGAAAGUGGAAUUCAAUGUGUAGCGGUGAAAUGCGCAGAGAUAUGGAGGAACACCAGUGGCGAAGGCGACUUUCUGGUCUGUAACUGACGCUGAUGUGCGAAAGCGUGGGGAUCAAACAGG